rnacentral:rRNA from 1 species
UACAGAGGGUGCAAGCGUUAAUCGGAAUUACUGGGCGUAAAGCGCACGUAGGUGGCUGGGUAAGUUGGAUGUGAAAUCCCCGGGCUUAACUUGGGAAUUGCAUUCAAGACUGCCUUGCUAGAGUGUGGAAGAGGGAAGCGGAAUUCCAGGUGUAGCGGUGAAAUGCGUUGAUAUCAGGAGGAACACCCAUGGCGAAGGCAGCAUACUGGCCGGCAUCUGACGCUGAGGCGCGAAAGCGUGGGUAGCAAACAGG